GUCUCUAAUCUUUAUAGUUUCUUAAUUAUUGUAAGGAUCAAAGACAACCUAAGAGGAGAGGGUGAAUUAGGUAGUUUUAAAAACUGGUCAAGUUGUGAGUCACUUUUUGAAUAUUUGCCCUCUUUUUCUAAAAGAUCACACAAUGGAACAAUUAAUGAGAAAGCACAAGUACUUGUGAGUAGAAGAGAUGAACAAUUUAUAUAGCAAGAUAGUAAGUAAAAGAGAAAGAAUAUCAAACCAAAUACCAAACUCCUCUUGAGUUUGAAUAUCACUUUAGUGAGCAAGUUUUUUCAAGUUGAUCA
rnacentral:lncRNA from 1 species